rnacentral:lncRNA from 1 species
GGUAAGCUCUAAGGACAUGUCAUGAAUUCCUGAGCCACAAUAAAUCUAAAUGGCAGAAUUACAUGAAAAAUAUGGAGGUCCACCAAUGAAUAACUGCCUGGAAUAGAACUACUUUGGGAGAAAAUGAAAUAAAAUUCACCUGGAUACGAUAAAAUGGAUAUGGUGAUGCUCUCUCUGCUCCAGAAGAUUGUAUCACUUUAGAUGUCAUGAGCUGGGCACUGUUUCACCACCAGAUCAUCCUGCUUUUGUGAAUGAAACAAAAUACGCAAGCAGCAACUUAGAGGACCUGAAGUUCAUUUUGACCUAAGGUAGGCAAGAUUUGAGUUCACAUUACUGGCUCCAUGGCACCAGCACCAUAGGAAAGGGGUACAGCAGAGGAAACUCCAGCAAGUGAGACCCUUCCAAACCCCCUUAGCCAGGAACCCACCGCUUCCGAACAAGGCCCCCUCUUAACACAUUCAGGUGCAAACUCAUCAUUGGAUGAAUCCACCAACCAGACCAGUUCAUUUAUGACCUAAUCACCUUCCCAAAGCCUCGAUCUGAGCACAUGGGAAUGUCGGGAUAUUUUAGAUCCAAAUCAUAAAACGUGAUGACCGUGCUUUGCACUUACCAACUCCCUUCCAAAGCCAAGUUUAGAAAUCACUUUUCUAUUUGAGAAGAAUGCAAAAGAAGAGUCUUUCGUCCCGUGAUGCUUCACUUCCUACCCUUGAACUGCAUUUAUCCUAAAGGAUUCCAUACGUAAUAAAUGGAUUUCUAUGAAGGCCAGUUCAAUUAAUUUGUUUUUUAGUCUUUAUUUUGCAGGAUCAAGGAAAUCAAGGCCAACAUACUUAACAUCUAAACUUCUUAGGACAGGAACUCAGCAUUUGCUGGCUUUUAAGAAGAGACACCUCAGGAAGCCCAGGAUUUACAUCUGUGCCAGGAAGAAUCUGGAACUGGCUCUGUGACCGCCCAGUCUCUACCAGUGUUCCAGAUGCAUCUGGAGUCCUAUUAUAGCGGAAGAAGCGACUUUCCCCCAUCUGCUGUCAUAAUCCUGAACUAAAAGCCCAUGCAUUAAUCACUGUUUUGGUUUCUCCUUCUAAUCUUUCCUAAGGUAGUAGAGGUUUUUUGUCCAGGCAGCAAUCUCCCACCAGUCUGCAUACCUGCCGAGAAGUGGUAUUCCCGGGACUGGAACCCGAGUCUGGUAGAAUCCCCAUGUGUGUUGGCUUUGGUCACCACACAAUGUUUAGUUUGAACAUUCAAGAGACAGUGGCUUCCGAGGAGGCUUGUGAUGAAAGCUAGGAGGUCUAGAGUUUCAACUCAACUGAACUGGCCACAGACAGCAAAUGACUUCGGGUCUUCCCUUCUCUAUGGAACCCCAGCUUGCUGGAUGUAUCACAAGCAUUUCAAGAAUUAGUGUUUCAUAGCCUCAGUUAUUUCAUUGUUAAAAGCCACGUACCAAAGUAUAGGAUAGUAAUUAUGGGGGAAAGGAUGGGUUCUACCAAGUUUAACUUAAUUUAACAUUGUGUCUUAAAAAAAUCUUGAGUUUCAAAUCAAGUCCACUCAUUGAGGAUUCAGAUUCACAUGUCUUUGCAACACAUAGCUUCCUGCCACAACGGAAAGAGGGCUUAAGAAGACUUACAAGGCAUCAUAGCCUUCAAAUAAGUCUUACGAAACAACAUGUUCAUGUGGUAAGUGUAAAUGAGUCAGAAACAUAAGGAUUAAAUUUUCCUUAAAAUACAUGGGGGUUUGAAAAUGAAGGGGAAAAUGCUGAGGGCAAAACGUGUUUUGGAUUUUGGCAAACCCAAAACAUCACAAAAAAUGUUUUGAUGUUUGAUGAACCCUAAACACCGCAGUUUGCUCAUCUCUCAUUGUGAUGAGGACCACUGGAACAUUUUGUGUGAAAACACAGAAUCCCACUGGCACUGCCUGUGGACCCCUCACUAGUGCAGAACCCGACUGAUCUUCAUGUCGCUAAUUCACAAGCUUCCUUAUUCCAUGGUGGUUGGUGGUCUGCCUCACAAGAGUUUUCAGCAAAGACAUAAUGAAAGAAUCCUGGAGAAGACGUCUGGGAUUAGUAAGACUUCAUUAGUCUUAUAAAAUGCACUUCAGGGCAUAACCAGUGUACAAUAAAACAUUAACAUAAAUCACUAAAAUGGAACCAUGCCUUGUCAAGAUAAAUAAGAGGCGAGUGCUUCACAUGGCACUGUCCUUAUUUCUUUAAAUUGGUUUGCUCACUUGCUAAUUUGCAAAAACGAACAAUCAGAUAUUCUGUGGUAUGAAUUAAAGCAGUGAGUUCCUCCAUUCAUCCACUUCGAAUUUCCGUUGAAGUUUCUAAAGUCUUGGAGAUGGAAACAGGGCCAUGGCAGUAUUGGGGCGGGGGAGAGAGAUAAAUCUUUUUUUCUUUUGGAAGUGCUUUCCGAAGACAUACGUGCUCUGAGGACGGAACUACUCAUGUGACAUUUUUCUCCUUUGGCCUUGGAUCUCAAACUGUGCG